GACGAACGCUGGCGGCGUGCUUAACACAUGCAAGUCGAACGGAAAGGCCCUGCUUUUGUGGGGUGCUCGAGUGGCGAACGGGUGAGUAACACGUGAGUAACCUGCCCUUGACUUUGGGAUAACUUCAGGAAACUGGGGCUAAUACCGGAUAGGAGCUCCUGCUGCAUGGUGGGGGUUGGAAAGUUUCGGCGGCUGGGGAUGGACUCGCGGCUUAUCAGCUUGUUGGUGGGGUAGUGGCUUACCAAGGCUUUGACGGGUAGCCGGCCUGAGAGGGUGACCGGCCCCAUUUGGGCCUGGGACACGGCCCAGACCCCCCCGGGGGGCACAAUGGGGGAAUUUUCAACAUGGGGCGGAAGCCGGUGCCGGCACCCCCCGGGGGGGGAAAACGCCCUUCGGGUUGAAACCCCUUUUCCCCUUGGACAAGCGGUGGGUACCGUUAUUGGUAAAAGAAGCACCGGCAAACUCCGU
rnacentral:rRNA from 1 species